rnacentral:rRNA from 1 species
GCCCUACGGGGCGCAGCAGUCGCGAAAACUUCGCAAUGGGGGCAACCCCGACGAGGGAAUUCCAAGUGCCAGCACUUUGUGUUGGCUGUUCUCCUGUCUAAAAAACAGGAGGAGUAAGGGGCGGGUAAGACGGGUGCCAGCCGCCGCGGUAAUACCCGCGCCCCUAGUGGUGGUCGAUAUUAUUGAGCCUAAAACGUCCGUAGCCGGUCUUUUAAAUCCUUGGGUAAAUCGGGCAGCUUAACUGUCCGAAGUCCGGGGAGACUGGGAGACUUGGGACCGGGAGAGGUCAGAGGUACUUCUGGGGUAGGGGUAAAAUCCUGUAAUCCUGGAAGGACCACCGGUGGCGAAGGCGUCUGACUAGAACGGAUCCGACGGUGAGGGACGAAGCCCUGGGGCGCAAACGGGAUUAGAUACCCCGGUAGUCCAGGGUGUAAACGCUGCGGGCUUGGUGUUGGGGGUCCUUAGUGGGCGCCCAGUGCCGGAGAGAAGUUGUUAAGCCUGCUGCUUGGGGAGUAUGUCCGCAAGGAUGAAACUUAAAGGAAUUGGCGGGGGAGCACCGCAACGGGAGGAGCGUGCGGUUCAAUUGGAUUCAACGCCGAAAAACUCACCA